rnacentral:lncRNA from 1 species
GCCAAUAAAAUCCACUUGCCUAAACUUUUCCUUGAGUUCUAAAGUGUCCAUAAUGUCCUCCAUAUUCUGAUGAAUGGCAUUUUCUAAGCAAUGCUUCUCUUUCUUCCCUUGGAAUGCAUCUUCUCAAUACUCCGUCUGCCCCAUAUAUAUAGAAAAGGUGUAGACCAAUAUUAUUUCUUACUUUCAACAAUCACUUUUCUUUCGUC